CUGGAGUGUGAUGAAGAUCAAAGUCAGUUAAUUGCAAAGAGUUAGGAAAGGAAGACAUAUCUAGGAAGUAUAGCCAACAGGCAUAAACUAUGCCUUUGAGAGGCUUGGGAGGGAAAAAGAAGAGAGAGAAACAUAGGAUCUAGUGAUGGCCAUUCUGUUUCUUUUUUGUGACAUGGAGUUCUAUUUAAAAGGCUUCUCUACAAAGGCGGAAAGAAUUAAAAUAUUCUAGAACCUACCAUGGCUCUAAUCUGAAGCCAAGAAGGCAGCCACAUUGCCUCGUGCCUGCAAGGAACUCAAAGAAACCAGCUGUUAUGUGGAGCAGUCCCAAGGAGAAGCCCAUGGGGCAAGGAACUGAGGCCUCCUAGCCAACAGCCUGUGUGGAACUAAGGUCAGCCAGCAACCAUCUGUGUGACCUUGGAAGUGGAUUCUCCAGCCGCAGUCAAGCCUUGAGAUGACAGCAGUCCUGGGUCACAGCUUGAUACAGCCUCAUGAGAGACCCUCAGCCAGAAUCACCCAGCUAUGGUAGCCCAGAUCUCUGACCCACAGAAACUGUGAGAUAAUAAAUGUUUGUUGUUUUAAGC